GGGGUUGUAGCUCAGUGGUGGAGUGCUUGCCUAGCAUACAUGAGGCACUGGGUUCGCGACCCCAGCACCA
rnacentral:tRNA from 1 species